rnacentral:lncRNA from 1 species
AAGUUCAUGAGGUCACUUGUAAAAGUGAUGUAAUAUGCAGAAAACCUCUAAAAACUGAACAUAUGUUAUAUGUAAAGCAAGAAACAAAGUAAACUGGAACAUUGAAAUGGGACUUAGUGACAUGCGUUCUGUAUCCACAUCAAAGGUCUGGAUGGAAGGCACUAGAGACAAGGACACGGAGCUGGAAAUCCAUGGGAUUAUCACCACCUGUUACCACUGUGCAACGCUCAGAUGCUGUUCUACUUUGCGAGGUGAGAUAGAAAGUGAAUGACAAUUGCAAGAGUGGAUGGCUGCUAAAGAGAGCUUCACAGGGACUGUAGACCUACUGGUGCUGACAACAGAUGGCUCAGAAUGUUCUCAGAGGAGAGCGUGAAGUGAAAAGGGAGAUAGAUAAUUGCUGCGAUCAUGCUGUUGGCCUGGAAGUUCGGAGUUGUUACUGGCUGUGAAAUGAUGCAAAGAAAUUAUUGGACCACAAUGGACAUGUAGUAGUAACAUGGUGAAGCUCUUGCCUUUUUCACAGAACUGAUAGUGUUUUCAAUAUUUCACUCUAAACCAUUUGCUUAGGAGUGAAUGCA